AUAAAUAUCUGGGCUCCUCGGAACUCUUACUUAAGGUUAACCCGGAACGGGACUGCGGCGGGGAGCGACGGCGGUGGAUUCUGGAAAAGGGAGCCAAAUUGGAAUCGAGAAAUUGAUCUCUGCACUGCAUUCCCAUACGUACAAAAAUGUACAUUAUUCCUUUUGGCAUCGGAAUCGACGAAUUGUGUUACAGUUGGUGUUAUUCAACUUCGGACCCGUCAACGGGAGAGAAACACCUGCUAUGGCUAAAAUGAACCGGUGCUGAACAGAGUUAACGAACCUGAAACGGUCGCUGGUUCUCGAUAAGACCGAAAUUCUGCAUCAGAUGUUGGCCGCUUGUGAUCCGAACGGCACCCCGUCAAAGAAGAUUGAGAGUUUCUGACGGAAGAAAAAAACUUACAAGCAUCUACUGAAGCGAAGCUAUGGAUGCGUUUAAAUCGUUUGUUUCAUUACC